rnacentral:rRNA from 1 species
UACAGAGGGUGCAAGCGUUAAUCGGAAUUACUGGGCGUAAAGCGCGCGUAGGUGGUUCGUUAAGUUGGAUGUGAAAUCCCCCGGGCUCAACCUGGGAACUGCAUUCAAAACUGACGAGCUAGAGUAUGGUAGAGGGUGGUGGAAUUUCCUGUGUAGCGGUGAAAUGCGUAGAUAUAGGAAGGAACACCAGUGGCGAAGGCGACCACCUGGACCUGAUACUGACACUGAGGUGCGAAAGCUGGGGGAGCAAAAC